AUAUCUUUCCCGGCCUUUUGACUAAGAUAAAUUGUAUAUUUAUUCUUAUCAGUUUAAUAUCAGAUAUGUGGACCAUAUAUUCACUUUGUAUUAAAUUUAUUUUUUAUGGGUAUCAAAUAUAAGUGUGUGCCAUCGCAAAGCACGGGCAUUGGAGUAGUUAACAUUU
rnacentral:snRNA from 1 species